rnacentral:tRNA from 1 species
GGGGAUGUAGCUCAGUGGUAGAGCACAUACUUAGCAUGUGUAAGAUGUGAAGCCCUGGGUUCCUUCCCCA